rnacentral:rRNA from 1 species
UACGUAGGGGGCAAGCGUUGUCCGGAUUUAUUGGGCGUAAAGAGCGUGUAGGCGGCCAGAUAGGUCGGUUGUGAAAACUGGAGGCUUAACCUUCAGACGUCGACCGAAACCAUCUGGCUAGAGUCCGGAAGAGGAGAGUGGAAUUCCUGGUGUAGCGGUGAAAUGCGCAGAUAUCAGGAAGAACACCCGUGGCUAAGGCGGCUCUCUAGUACGGUACUGACGCUGAGACGCGAAAGCGUGGGGAGCGAGCAGG